UUGAACGCUGGCGGCAUGCUUUACACAUGCAAGUCGAGCGGCAGCGCGGGGGCAACCCUGGCGGCGAGCGGCGAACGGGUGAGUAAUGUAUCGGAACGUACCCAGUCGUGGGGGAUAACUAUCCGAAAGGAUAGCUAAUACCGCAUACGUCCUGAGGGAGAAAGCGGGGGACCGUAAGGCCUCGCGCGAUUGGAGCGGCCGAUAUCGGAUUAGCUAGUUGGUGAGGUAAAGGCUCACCAAGGCGACGAUCCGUAGCUGGUCUGAGAGGACGACCAGCCACACUGGAACUGAGACACGGUCCAGACUCCUACGGGAGGCAGCAGUGGGGAAUUUUGGACAAUGGGCGCAAGCCUGAUCCAGCCAUGCCGCGUGAGUGAAGAAGGCCUUCGGGUUGUAAAGCUCUUUCAGACGGAAAGAAAUCGGGCGCGUGAAUAGCGUGCCUGGAUGACGGUACUGUCAGAAGAAGCACCGGCUAACUACGU
rnacentral:rRNA from 1 species